AUUGAACGCUGGCGGCAGGCCUAACACAUGCAAGUCGAGCGAGCGGCGGACGGGUGAGUAAUGUAUGGGGGCUGUGCGAUAGAGAGGGAGAACUACAGGAAACGCUAGCUAAAACCGCGUACAAUCGGAGAACCCCCAUGGGAGUAGCUAGUAGGUGAGGUAAUGGCUCACCUAGGCGACGAUCCCUAGCUGGGCUGAGAGGAUGAUCAGCCACACUGGGACUGAGACACGGCCCAGACUCCUACGGAGGCAGCAGUGGGGAAUAUUGCACAAUGGGCGCAAGCCUGAUGCAGCCAUCCCGCGUGUAUGAUGAAGGCCUUCGGGUUGUAAAGUACUUUUAGCGGAGAGGCGUUACCUGCAGAAGAAGCACCGGCUAACUACGUGCCAGCCGCCGCGGUAAUUC
rnacentral:rRNA from 1 species